GGGAACCACUCUGGCUGGAAAUCCUGUGGCUGCCUUUGGAGGAUGUGAACUCUCCUGGGAUGAUGUACAUUCCAAAUAGCGAGUGCACAGGCUAGACCUUCAGUGUUCAGUAACGAGACCGACCUGAUCCUGAUCAGUAGUCAGGGGUUGCCGGCAGUGGAAGAACAAAGAGAUGCUCUGUACCCACUGAAGACGAAGGCUAUGGGCUGACAAGCCUAGCAUCGGUGGUCAGCCAUUUUGCCAUUAGUGCUAUGAAGAGAAGGCCUUUUCCUCAGGACCAGAAGUGCUCUGCGCUCUGCUAUUAACCCCAUGAAAAGAGUUCUUUCCAGAUAAGCGGAUACUUGCGGCUGCGUGGAGUGGAUCCCAGUCCCAGUUUGCUACCAGCAAUCCCAACCCAAGACACAGAUUUCUGGGUGCUGGUGUGAUGCUAUGUGUCGUGAAAUCCAGCCGAUAGGAGAUCCUUCACACAGUCUCUGUCUUUUCCGCCUCUCCCCUCCCAGUCGCUGUCUCCAGGUGUGCUCUAGCUUCUGUUCCCACCCACCUCUGUGUGAGGCAAGUCGAACCGCGUCAGCAGACAAGAACUGGGAAGGGUGAGCAGAUUCAGACCAGGACACCCCACAUAAGGACUGUGACAACUAGUCACAGAGCACAGAGCAUGAGUUCUCCAUGCUAAGGAGGUAUCUUAGGAUGGGCAGGCCCUGAGGGUUUAGCCAAUAAGCUUCCCUUCCAGGACAUUUCUUCCUGCAAAAGGGAUUUAAUCUCUGGUCCACCCUGAGUACGCUUUAUGCAUCCAUUUUCCAUUGCCAAUAAACAGUUUGGACAAGCAA
rnacentral:lncRNA from 1 species